ACCAUUAAGGUUUGUUGUUCUUUUUAUUUAUUUAUUUAUUUAUUUAUUUAUUUUUAUUUUUAUUUAUUUAUUUAUUUUUUAUUAUUAUACUUUAAGUUUUAGGGUACAUGUGCACAUUGUGCAGGUUAGUUACAUACGUAUACAUGCACCAUGCUGGUGUGCUGCACCCACUAACUCGUCAUCUAGCAUUAGGUAUAUCUCCCAAUGCUAUCCCUUCCCCUUCCCCCUACUCCACAACAGUCCCCAGAGUGUGAUGUUCCCCCUCCUGUGUCCAUGUGAUCUCAUUGUUCAAUUCCCACCUAUGAGUGAGAAUAUGAGGUGUUUGGUUUUUUGUUCUUGCGAUAGUUUACUGAGAAUGAUGAUUUCCAAUUUCAUCCAUGUCCCUACAAAGGACAUGAACUCAUCAUUUUUUAUGGCUGCAUAGUAUUCCAUGGUGUAUAUGUGCCACAUUUUCUUAAUCCAGUCUAUCAUUGUUGGACAUUCAGAGAGCACAGGGUUGGGGGUAAGGUCACAGAUCAACAGGAUAAGAAUUUUUCUUAGUACAGAGCAAAAUGAAAAGUCUCCCAUGUCUACCUCUUUCUACACAGACACGGCAACCAUCCGAUUUCUCAAUCUUUUCCCCACCUUUCCCCCCUUUCUAUUCCACAAAACCGCCAUUGUCAUCAUGGCCCGUUCUCAAUGAGCUGUUGGGUACACCUCCCAGACAGGGUGGUGGCCGGGCAGAGGGGCUCCUCACUUCCCAGUAGGGGCGGCUGGGCAGAGGCGCCCCUCACCUCCCAGACGGGGCGGCUGGCUGGGCGGGGGGCUGACCCCCCACCUCCCUCCCGGAUGGGGCGGCUGGCCGGGUGGGGGGCUGACCCCCCCACCUCCCUCCUGGACGGGGCGGCUGGCCGGGCAGAGGGGCUCCUCACUUCCCAGUAGGGGCGGCCGGGCAGAGGCGCCCCUCACCUCCCGGACGGGGCGGCUGGCCGGGCGUGGGGGCUGACGCCCCCCCACCUCCCUCCCGAACGGGACGGCUGGCUGGGCGGGGGGCUGACCCCCCACCUCCCUCCCGGAUGGGGCGGCUGGCUGGGUGGGGGGCUGACCCCCCCACCUCCUUCCCGGAUGAGGCGGCUGGCUGGGCAGAGGGGCUCCUCACUUCCCAGUAGGGGCGGCUGGGCAGAGGCGCCCCUCACCUCCUGGAUGGGGCGGCUGGCCGGGCGGGGGGGCUGACCCCCCCCACCUCCCUCCCGGUCGGGGCGGCUGGCCUGGCGGGGGCUGACCCCC
rnacentral:lncRNA from 1 species